AGCGGCGAGCGAACGGGGAGGAGCCCAGAGCCUGAAUCAGCAUGUGUGUUAGUGGAAGCGUCUGGAAAGGCGCGCGAUACAGGGUGACAGCCCCGUACACAAAAGCGCAUGUGCUGUGAGCUCGAUGAGUAGGGCGGGACACGUGGUAUCCUGUCUGAAUAUGGGGGGACCAUCCUCCAAGGCUAAAUACUCCUGACUGACCGAUAGUGAACCAGUACCGUGAGGGAAAGGCGAAAAGAACCCCGGCGAGGGGAGUGAAAAAGAACCUGAAACCGUGUACGUACAAGCAGUGGGAGC
rnacentral:rRNA from 2 species